rnacentral:rRNA from 1 species
UACGUAGGGUGCAAGCGUUGUCCGGAAUUAUUGGGCGUAAAGAGCUCGUAGGCGGUGUGUCACGUCGGCCGUGAAAACCCGCAGCUCAACUGUGGGCUUGCAGCUGAUACGGGCAGGCUUGAGUUCGGUAGGGGAGACUGGAAUUCCUGGUGUAGCGGUGAAAUGCGCAGAUAUCAGGAGGAACACCGGUGGCGAAGGCGGGUCUCUGGGCCGAUGACUGACGCUGAGGAGCGAAAGCGUGGGGAGCGAACAGG